rnacentral:tRNA from 1 species
GGGCCUGUAGCUCAACUGGGAGAGCGCCGCGCCUGCAACGCGGUUGUUGUGGGUUCAAGUCCCACCGGGUCCA